AAGCGCUUGACGCCUUGAUUAUCAAAUUUUAAUUUAUAGUAAUUUACGGCUAUAAUUUUUUAAAUUAUUACAAUUAAAUCUCACAAUUCAUUUUAAUUGGCUACGUAUUAAAUGAAUUGUUGAUAUCCAAGUAAUAUAAAAAUGCUACCACUGCUGGUGUGAUAAUAAUUUUGAUGUUACGGGACUUUUGCAUCAAAAUAUAUCAAUAUUUAGUCAAGUAAUAAAAUUGAAUUACGAGACUUUACUUUUAUAAUUCAGAAUGUUCAAACUAAAAAUUAUAAUAAAUUUAAAUUUGAAGACCAAAAUACCACGUGCUUCAUAGCUUGAGAACCAAAAGUAUAUAUAAUCCAACUUUUCUUUUUUUUUUCUUUUA
rnacentral:lncRNA from 1 species